AAACAUUAAGCCUAUUCAUAUUGUGCACUCAUUAAAUGGAACUACUCAUUAGGAAAAUGAGGGGAACCGAUAAAAAGGCUUUCUAAAUGACUACCAGUGUUUUGAAAAAGUGGUUAUGGCGGCGCCAUGACGCUAUGGCAUGGUAGAUUUCUUCCUUGCUGCCAUACAUGAUAACGCAGUGAGUUUUUCGUGGAGGACGAAAUGGCGGAAAUUGCGGGGUUUUUCUUUUUGGAAUUUCAACAAAAUUAGAGGGAUAUUUUGGUAAUUUAGGAUACCCUAAAUGCUACAACUCACCUUCCUCAGCCUCCUUUCUUCAGAAACUGCCUCUUCCUCUCUGACGGUCCAAAAACUCUUCUAUCUCUCCCUCACUGCUCUGGGCUGCACCUAGCCAGAAGAGGCAGCACCUUCUGGCUCCAGUUCCUCCUUCUCCGUCUUCCCUCUCUGCCGUUCUCUCUGCGUUCUGGCCAAGCCGCUGCUCGCUGCCGCUGGAAGCCGUUAUUGACUCGCUACUCGCCGCCACUCGUUGCUGUCGCUUCUCGCCACCGCUGCAAGCCACGGGUUCCCUCUCUCUGGUUCGUAACUUAGUGUUCCUACCCUUCUUUUCUUUCCCCAGUUUCCCCUUUUUUCCUUUUCUCUCCAAAUAUUAAAUAUUGUAACUUGGAUACAUUUANNNNNNNNNNNNNNNNNNNNNNNNNUGAAGUAGGUUUAGUUGUGUUAAUAAUACUUGACUUGGAUACAUUUGAUGAGAACUAGAAUUUAGAUAGUUUAUUUUGUCAUUUGUUAGUUUAAGAACACGAUAAGGCAAUGGCUUUGGUUUUUCUUGUGAAUUUUUAGUUUUUAAGUUCUCUGUCUUAUGUUUUAUGGUGUGUUAUGACUUAAUGUUAUGUUUAUUUUGUUGAAUUUGCUACUGCAUUUGCAGAAUUAAUUGGAUGCCUUACGAGGAGAAAAUUGCUUAAAUUGAUUAGAUUUUAUAAUUUAUUACAUUUGCAGUUUUUCUGCAUUUUUUGUGCAUAUAUAUGUAUUUUUUCGGUAGUCCGUCAUUUCCCGCAACGCCAUCCGCCAUAGUUUUAUGGUGGAUUUUUAACUCACCACCAGGAGCCGCCAUCCACAAUAAAAAAAACUAUGAUGACUACUUAAUACCGCUAAAUUCAUACAUGGAAGAAUAAAAUAGAAGACCUUCACAUGACAUACCAAUAGCAUAUAAUUGGUGAUUAGUGAUUUAGAUAGUCAAAUACCUGUAAGUGUCUUUGCAGCUUGUCCAGAUAGCAGCACCAAAACUGAGCAAAGCUCUUUCAAGUGCUGUGGUUGUAUGAUGUCUGCUAAAAGAGACCUUCAAGAAUAAUAAUGUCAGUAACUAAAAUGUGAUAAAUUUAUCUUCAUUUCAUAUAUAUGACCAAGUUUACCUGUAUGAAAAUUUUGAAGGACCAAGUGUUGCAGUUCCAACACGAGUGCCCGGAAGGGAGGGCAAGGAUGGGGAUGGAGCUGGACUUCGGACAUGGUUUACCUGGUGAACAAUAAAAAAGCAUUCCAUGAUGAUAGUGUAUAUAAGUCCAGCAAUAAAACAGAUACCAAUGAGUAAAUUCACUAUAAACAGCGGCUAGGCAAUGCGAAUAACUUGUAUAUGGUUGAGCUUUUGGAGGAGUUGUCAAGUUAUCAGGGUAUUGAACCAAAAGUUUCAACCUCACUUAGUUUGAUUCUUCUCAUUCGAAUUCUAAAUUAGAAAUUUC
rnacentral:lncRNA from 1 species